AAAACACCAUCUAUACAUAGACCCAGUCACCACGAAAGUUGCGAUCGCAAAUAAACAAUAAACAGUGAUGUUUUGUUUACUCUCUGACUUGGUUGAGAUUUUGAUUUUAACAAUCGACAUUAUGAAAUUUAAAAUAAAGAAAUUAAAUACACAUUUAGGAAUUUUAGAAUCAACACAUUUUUCUAAGCAUUGAUGAAGUACAACUACAACAUGGCAACAAUUUUACGUUCUUCGUCUAAUAACAAACAGAACUCCAGCUCAAAUGCUUUAGGUUUAGAUAUGGUUUACACUGACAAUUCUAAAAAUAAAUCAGGACAAACAUAUCUUCCAUCUGAAGCCACACUUUUGUGAGUGAAAAUGGUGACUGAUGUAUAUUGUUAGUUUGUAUUUCUUAUUUUGUAUAAGUUGUUUAUAUUUUCUUUUUUCAAAUUAAAUUAACCUUCAACUUGAAAAGAGCUGAUACCACUACUCAUUUUUUUAAUAAUAGGUUUGUUUUAAACUUGUAUUUAAUAUCAAUAUUUAAUCUUUUUUAACUUUCUAGACAAUCUGACUUUUUGGUUCUGAAACCCUAUAAAUUGCUUUUUUUCUUGUUUGCACCAUGUGACAUUGUAAGGUUUUUGUCUUGAGUUUGGCUAAUAUAGCCUCAUUUGUUUCUCUUGUUUUUUAACUUUUUGUAUCAAACAUUGUUUUGAGCACAGUUUAGUUUUGUUACCUUGAGUAUGUAAUUUUGUAAUGAUUUUUCUUUGAGUUGAGCACAAUAUAACAACAUUGUUAUUUACACUAUUGAGCUCUACAUUCAAUUAGAUUUUUAAUCAAUAGUGUUUUUAUUAGAGUUUAUCUGAUCAUAUAAUCAAGUAUAAAAGCACCACAAUAGGGGAUUUCUCUACCCUUAAACGAAACUGAAAGCAUUAUGAACAGUGAUUGUCCAAUCAUUGCUUUUAGAGGAAUAUAGUAGGUGCUUAAAAACAUUAAUCUCACUUUUGACGAGGAAACAUUUUCAGUGAAUUUUCUAAAAAAGGCUGAAUCAGUUAAGAUAGGUUUCCUAUUGCUUCAUAUUUUAAAGCAAUAUUUCAAGUAAAUAAUAAGUUUUAGAAAUUGCAGCAUUUUUAAUUUUAAAUAUUCUUUAAUAUUUCUGUUAGAAUCUGCUGCAAAUUAAGUUUAUUCUGCAAUAUUUUAUGUUUUCCCAUAUUUUUGAUGAUCAUACUUUUUGGCUUUAAAUAAUUAUUUGGUAACAUUAAUCCAAAGGUCAUUAAAUUCGACGCCAUAUUGUCUGAUUGUAGCAGUAAUUAGACUAAAAUACUUAAUUAACUUACAUGUUAUUCAUUUAUCAAAUAAAUAAAUAUAAUAUAAAUUCUCACUUAGUAUAAAACUUUUUUCUUUAAAAAAAUAUAUACUUUUAAGAUUAAAUGAAUUUUUUGAAGAAAUUAUUCCAUUGUCGAAAUCAUUAAAUGAGUUGAAGGUUAAUUGUGAUUUAUGCCUUUGUUUACAAAUGAUUUGUUUAUUUUGGUUCAUAAAAUUUUGCUUAUUUGUAUGUUUGCCCUUCAUGAUAAAUAAAGACUCUUAUUUUUAAACAAAAUGAAAA